AACGAACGCUGGCGGCAUGCCUAACACAUGCAAGUCGAACGAGACCUCCGGGUCUAGUGGCGCACGGGGGCGUAACGCGGGGGAACCUGCCCUUAGGCUCGGAAUAACUCCCCGACAGGGGUGCUAAUACCGGAUAAUGUACUCGGACAAAAGAUUUAUCGCCUUUGGAUGGGCCCGCGUUGGAUUAGCUAGUUGGUAGGGUAAAAGCCUACCAAGGCGACGAUCCAUAGCUGGUCUGAGAGGAUGAUCAGCCACACUGGGACUGAGACACGGCCCAGACUCCUACGGGAGGCAGCAGUGGGGAAUAUUGGACAAUGGGCGAAAGCCUGAUCCAGCAAUGCCGCGUGAGUGAUGAAGGCCUUAGGGUUGUAAAGCUCUUUUACCCGGGAUGAUAAUGACAGUACCGGGAGAAUAAGCUCCGGCUAACUCCGUG
rnacentral:rRNA from 1 species